rnacentral:rRNA from 1 species
CCUACGGGAGGCAGCAGUGAGGAAUAUUGGGCAAUGGGCUCAAGCCUGAACCAGCCAAUUAGCGUGAAGGAUGACUGCCCUACGGGUUGUAACCUUCUUUUAUAAAGGAAUAAAGUGAGGCACGUGUGCCUUUUUGUCUGUACUUUAUGCAUAAGGAUCGGCUCACUCCGUUCCAGCAGCCGCGGUAAUACGGAGGAUCCGAGCGUUAUCCGGAUUUAUUGUGUUUAAAGGGAGCGUAGAUGGGUUGUUAAGUUAGUUGUUAAAGUUUGUGGCUCAACCGUAAAAUUACAAUUGAUACUGGCAGCCUUGAGUACAGUGGAGGUAGGCGGAAUUCGUGGUGUAGCGGUGAAAUGCUUAGAUAUCACGAAGAACUCCGAUUGCGAAGGCAGCCUACUAAACUGCCACUGACAUUGAUGCACGAAAGUGUGGGGAUCAAACAGGAUUAGAUACCCGUGUAGUC